CCUACGGGAGGCAGCAGUGGGGAAUAUUGGUCAAUGGACGAAAGUCUGAUCCAGCGACGCAGCGUGAAGGAUGAAUGCCCUAUGGGUUGUAAACUUCUUUUAUAUGGGAAUAAAAUGUUCAACGUGUGGGAUUUUGUAUGUACCAUAUGAAUAAGGAUCGGCUAACUCCGUGCCAGCAGCCGCGGUAAUCCGGAGGAUCCGAGCGUUAGCCGGAUUUAUUGGGUGUAAAGGGAGCGUAGGUGGAUUGGUAAGUCAGUUGUGAAAGGUUGCGGCUCAACCGUAAAAUUGCAGUUGAAACUGGCAGUCUAGAGUACAGUAGAGGUAGGCGGAAUUCGUGGUGUAGCGGUGAAAUGCGUAGAUAUCACGAAGAACACCGAUUGCGAAGGCAGUUCACUGGACUGCAACUGACACUGAGGCUCGAAAGUGUGGGUAGCAAACAGGAUUAGAUACCCUAGUAGUC
rnacentral:rRNA from 1 species